rnacentral:rRNA from 1 species
UGGGGAAUUUUGGACAAUGGGCGCAAGCCUGAUCCAGCAAUGCCGCGUGCAGGAUGAAGGCCUUCGGGUUGUAAACUGCUUUUGUACGGAACGAAAAAGCUCUCUCUAAUACAGGGGGUGGAUGACGGUACCGUAAGAAUAAGCACCGGCUAACUACGUGCCAGCAGCCGCGGUAAUACGUAGGGUGCAAGCGUUAAUCGGAAUUACUGGGCGUAAAGCGUGCGCAGGCGGUUUUGUAAGACAGAGGUGAAAUCCCCGGGCUCAACCUGGGAACUGCCUUUGUGACUGCAAAGCUGGAGUGCGGCAGAGNGGGAUGGAAUUCCGCGUGUAGCAGUGAAAUGCGUAGAUAUGCGGAGGAACACCGAUGGCGAAGGCAAUCCCCUGGGCCUGCACUGACGCUCAUGCACGAAAGCGUGGGGAGCAAACA